rnacentral:rRNA from 1 species
UUUCCGGUUGAUCCUGCCGGACCUGACUGCUAUCGGAUUGGUACUAAGCCAUGCGAGUCGUUGUACAAUACAAGGCGGACUGCUCAGUAACACGUAGUUAACUUAACCUAUGGAUGGGAAUAACCUCGGGAAACUGAGAAUAAUACCCAAUGGGCCACAGUGCCUGGAAUGGCCUGUGGUUGAAAUGAUUUAUCGCCGUAGGAUAGGACUGCGGCCUAUCAGCUUGUUGGUGAGGUAAUGGCCCACCAAGGCUAUAACAGGUACGGGCUCUGAGAGGAGGGGCCCGGAGAUGGGUACUGAGACACGGACCCAGGCCCUAUGGGGCGCAGCAGGCGAGAAACCUUUGCAAUGUGCGAAAGCACGACAAGGUUAAUCCGAGUGUCUCCUGCUAAAGGAGUCUUUUGUCAGUUGUAGAAUCACUGGUGAAUAAGGGGUGGGCAAGUUCUGGUGUCAGCCGCCGCGGUAAAACCAGCACCUCGAGUGGUCAGGAGGUUUAUUGGGCCUAAAGCAUCCGUAGCCGGUUGCAUAAGUUUUCGGUUAAAUCUAUGCGCUUAACGUAUAGGCCGCCGAAAAUACUGUGCAGCUCGGGAGUGGGAGAGGU